rnacentral:rRNA from 1 species
GUGAGGAAUUUUCCGCAAUGGGCGAAAGCCUGACGGAGCAAUGCCGCGUGAAGGAUGAAGGCCUAUGGGUUGUAAACUUCUUUUCUCAGAAAAGAAUUAUGACGGUAUCCGAGGAAUAAGCAUCGGCUAACUCUGUGCCAGCAGCCGCGGUAAGACAGAGGAUGCAAGCGUUAUCCGGAAUGAUUGGGCGUAAAGCGUCUGUAGGUUGUUUAAAAAGUAUUCUGUCAAAGAUUAGGGCUUAACCCUAGAUAGGCAGAAUAAACUUUUAAGCUAGAGUUUGGUAGAGGCAGAGGGAAUUCCCGGUGGAGCGGUGAAAUGCGUAGAUAUCGGGAGGAACACCAAAGGCGAAGGCACUCUGCUGGGCCAAUACUAACACUGAGAGACGAAAGCGAGGGGAGCAAAUGGGAUUAGAAACCCGUGUAGUCC